rnacentral:rRNA from 1 species
GACAGAGGGGGCAAGCGUUGCUCGGAAUUACUGGGCGUAAAGGGCGCGUAGGCGGGAUGGCAAGUCGGUCGUGAAAUCCCUCGGCUCAACUGAGGAGCGUCGAUCGAAACUGCCGUUCUUGAGGGUUGCAGAGGAGACUGGAAUUCCCGGUGUAGCGGUGAAAUGUGUAGAGAUCGGGAGGAACACCGGUGGCGAAGGCGGGUCUCUGGGCAUCUCCUGACGCUGAGGCGCGAAAGCGUGGGGAGCGAACGGG